rnacentral:ncRNA from 12 species
CGAUAGCUCAGUUGGUAGAGCGAUGGAUUGUAGUUGUAAAAGAGUGGCGUCCGCGCCCUAAACGUUCCAUUGGUCGCUGGUUCGAUUCCGGCUC